AAUGGUAUGUCUGAUAAAAGAAUUAUUUUGAUAGAAUAAAACAUGUAGCUCUGCUACUUCCAUUU
rnacentral:tRNA from 1 species